AUAUGAGCAAAUGAACUGGGUGAAGUUCCUUCUUCCUGUUAGUUCCUCACAUGCUGGAGUUCUGCAAUGCACCAUAGUCCCUCACAGCUGACCCUGUUUGACUUUGUGUUGCAACACCCUGUCCACACUUGUCUUAUGAUGUAUCUGGAACAAACAGAGAUUCCACUCAAGUCUUUCCUUCCCCUGGUUGGUUUGAAAGAAGCAGUGAGAGAGUCUGUUAGAGAGUCUCCUGCUCCGUCAACCCAGUCUCAUCAGGAAACGUUCAGUGGGAACGUUGGUCCACUUGGACAAACGUUUCCAUCUCACAAUCUGGCCUAUCAGAUUGUGAGAUGGAAACGUUUGGUCCGCCCAUUGUUUUGCAUUGACGUGUUUUCACGUCACGUGACUCCCGAGUUCCCGUCUCAGGAAAGGAAAACAUGGCGGACAGUCCUUGUUUUUUCAGAUAAAAACAUGAUUUUGUAACUUAGUCUGGGCAUAAAAAUACAUUCUGACACCAUUUCUAGCGAGAAAUGUGGUCUUUGCUUCCACAGUCUUCAGCCAGUUUGUGCUUAUGAUAUAUAUUUUAAUAGUUAUCACGAAUGUUUUUAUCGUUGCUAUGGUGGUUGCUAUGACGCUGCCAUGCACACAACGUCGUAGCGUGCUGUUUAAAUCACCGUCCCUGCGUGGUGUCGUUCAGUGAUUGUGUAUGUUAUUCAUGUUAAAUAAUAUUAAUAUUUGGGGCUAGAUUACACCUCUAAUGCGAAGGAUCUUGCGAGUCUGUUUAGAGGCGGACAUGAGUGUGACACCGGACCGAGAUCGCGAACGGACCGGAACUGACGUGUGGCUGGCGUAAAAAAAGGUUUUGUAAACAUUCUGUCCAUUUAACUUAGCGCUGUCAUAAACACGGACCAUUUGGAAGACAACGAUGUCAUCUUCCUUCUGUCAGGAGGAUCCAAGUGAAGCUACAGGAGUUUCAUUAACGUCAAUAACUUGGACCGAACAGUUUGUUUUGCUUGAUGAAGAGGAGGAAGGGCAGCCUGGAGAGAAAGAGAAGCCGGGUUGAGCCCACUUCCAUCAUCCACGUACCACAAGGAAGAUGAGGGGGAGAAAUUAUCCUACCAUUAAAGAGGUAGUACUGACGCAUUUAUGGAGAUGGGACAUGAGGGCCUUGUCUGCGUGCUCAAGAGAAGAUUCCACAGAGUUCAAGCUGAGCAGGCUGCAGCAGGUUUGGAGGAAUCCUCCUCUGAAGAGGAAACAUGGCGAAGUACUUCUCCACUGAUGAAGAAAUUUAUUCUCAAGAGAAGCUGCCUCAGCUCCACGGUCCCUCCUGCAGCUUCCACUCCUGAUGCUAACCCCCUGUUUACAUCACACCAUCCGGGCAGACCUGGAGUCACAGAACUUUGUCCAGAGCUGCCGUCUGAGAAUUGUUGAUCAUAUAAUUUCCAGCAGAUGCCUUAAUGUAAUGUUUGUGCACAAUAAAUGACAUUGAUCAUAA